rnacentral:rRNA from 1 species
UACGGGGGGGGCAAGCGUUGUUCGGAAUUACUGGGCGUAAAGGGCUCGUAGGCGGCCAACUAAGUCAGACGUGAAAUCCCUCGGCUUAACCGGGGAACUGCGUCUGAUACUGGAUGGCUUGAGUUUGGGAGAGGGAUGCGGAAUUCCAGGUGUAGCGGUGAAAUGCGUAGAUAUCAGGAGGAACACCUGUGGUGUAGACAGCUUACUGGACCAUCACUGACGCUGAGGUACGAAAGCGUGGGUAGCAAACAGG